UAAAGUAAUUUUUUAAGAAUGUUUUGCCACAAGUUGGAGUUCGAAAUGUUAUUUUUAACGUGAGUAAUAUUAAACAAUGUAUGUAGAGACAGAGACGAAUUUCGUGACUUUUCUAUAAUAUUAUUCAAAAAAUAAUCGCAGUCGUUUUCCUGGGUCCUAUUGACUGCAGAUUCUUUGUUACGAAAAGAAGACCCUUCCCAAUGUGUUUUCAAACCGAAUUUAGCCGAUCCUAGCCGAUACACAAGGCGGACGUUAACCGUUAAAAAACAUAAAUAAAGAGCAAAGGAAGGUUAGUUUAAAUUGCCGUAUAUUUAAGUUCAGCAUUAUAUAAUGAUGGAUAUAUAAGAUAUUUGAACGUGUUAAAUAAAUUAGAAGUUAAUUCGGGCGAAAGGGCCGUAGACAUGUGUACGGAAAUGAACAAGGCACGGCGUGAGGCAGGCGACCGGAGGCAGAACAUUCUCGAAUUUAAUAAAAAAACAACAAGGGAUACCUCUUUGGAGAAUUCUCUUCCUGAGACUUCAUAUUACAAUCCUAGCCAAUUCUGAGAAGUUCAAUCGAUAGAGGCAAGAUUUUCAAAGAAAAUGCCGUUGCGGUCAGGUUUCUAUCUCGCUUGGUUCUCUCGGAAUCGUGGCAAAAUAAAAAAAUGAACCCAUUUUUUAAUCAUUUAUAACUGAAAUAAAUUACUUUUUUGCAACUUUCUUGGUGUCAUUUUUUCACGCAAACUUCACAGAUUAUAUCCUUAAAAAGUUUAUUGGUAUAUCUUUAAGCCUCACCGAAAAAUAAGCGUUUUAAUGAAGGCCCGUUUUUCCGCGCGCAAAGGUCCUAUAACCCCUUCAUAGGAUAACAUGUAUGUAACUUCGGUUGUGACAUCCAUAAAGCAGCUACCUUCACCAAGGUUGAGACAACUCAAUAAGUCCUUCCAGAGUAUUAUGGUUCCCAUAACUCUUUUGUAUUGAUGGGCGAAAAUUAACAGCACUUUUUUGUUGCGACAACCAUAACUUUUUCUCCAUGCAGUUCUCGAUAAUGGCGCAUUUCGGUAAAGAGAUGGAAGAGGGAUCUCUCAACCUCUGCAGAGGUGAGAGUGGUGAGAGGAGUAUCUUCGAUUUCUCGAGUAGGGUUUAGUGAAUAAUUUCGUCGGGCCUAUUGUACUAUAUCGGCCGUGCCUUUCGAGAAACAAAGCACAAGACCAACACGGAUUAAGCCCAUUAUUUCGCUGUUCAUUAUAACAAUUACCUGUUGAUGGGGAUCGGGGCGCGCGGCACGCAGAGAAACCGGUGAGAGAGUAAUGAUUGAAAAUAACAGGAAUCACAUAAACGUGCAAUCAUGCAGCGCCGGGGUACUCUGGGGAUUGUCGGAAAUGAUCACAGAUUUCAGGGCAGUGUGAUCGCUCGACUCGAAGACAAGCAUUAUGAUAAUGAUUCUCAUUAUACGAUCAGAGAUUACAGAUUAUAGAAUUAUAAGCCUGCUAUGAUCAAUCAUUUGUCUUCCUAUGAUCAUUUUUCGUUUACGCGGUCAUAUCCGAGUACUUGGAUUUUCUUGAACGAUUUCAUUCUCUCGUAAUAUUGAUGUACUAAUGCCUAAUCUUUAGUAAUCUUUCCGCAAUAAUAUUUGCAUUUUAAUCGUAUAAUUUGUGAAUAUUUUCUUAUUUAUUUAAAUAUAUAUCGAAACUAAGUAUUGGUUACUUAUUUUUACAACGUUAGGUUGAUCGACAUUUUAUCGAGAUAUUAAUUUUCACUGAUUUAUUAGUAACAAAUUAUUAUUAUGAUUAUUCUAUAUUUUAUUUUUCUAUAAAACUCAAUAACGUUAACUAGAUAUAUGUAAUUACGACACCUGUACCUGUGAGAAAUAUCAAUCACGAUCGACUGAUUUAUCAGUGGAGUUGUUUUUACCUUUCACUUCCAGAUGUCGCAAGGUGUAUGAUUUAGUAUCUCUCAGUGAUAUAUAUAUAUCUCUCUCUCUCAAGCGACCAUUCUUUUUUAGAAAUAGCGAUUAUAAUUAACAUAAUACAAAUUGUAAAGAGCAACUUGGAAAAAACAUCUAGGUAUAAAUUUUCUUCUUUUUUCUUCCUUUUUUAGCUAAAUGUAGGUAGGGGAAUCCUAGAGUGACUUUUAAAUUUAUGCAUAGACUAAAAUUUAUAAUAAUUCAUAAUAAUUACGUUUCUUUGAUUUAUUCUCUCCCUCUCUUUUUCUCUAUUCAGGUUCGUUAAUUUGUUAAUUGCAGUUUAUUUGAAAAUUUAUGUAUAUUUGUUUUUGACAAAUAUCUGAAACAAAGAAAUCGUGAAAAUUGAGGCGUCAUUUUUGUUUUUACGAUCUCCAACAAGUAACGACGGUUGUCGGAUGGACAAGUCGUUCAGUAUUAACCAUGUCAGAAAAAGAUUAAUGAGGAAGCAUACGUGUGAAUACAAGGUUGAACGGGGCAAAGCGCUGAGUCAAGGAAAGGAUAAUGCAGCGCCGUUUUAUAUUAAAGUCGCGUACACAUACGUACGUACGCUUCGCAUCUUUCCUCGUGAUGAUAUUACACAUAUAACGUACAUAUAACAUGUUUUACAAAUUUAUUUAUUAUCAAUGUUAAUAAUGUUUCGAUAAAUAAACAAGUAACACGGAAAUUACGUUAUCAAAGCGUAAGUAGUGCUGAAGCUGCAAGCAAGCCAGCACACGUGCCUUGUACGUUUUACGUAUAAUCGUAAACAAGUUUGCAAUAAUAUACUAUUAAUAUACGAUAUCGAUAUGUAAUCAAUACAUGUGUAUGUAACAUAGUUUUUAACAUGGCUGUUCUGCGCAGUAUGAUGCAGUAUGAUGCAGUAUGAUGCAGUAUGAUGCAGUAUGUGAUUAAUUCCGAUAGUAAAUCGGUAGAGUUGCUUGAACGUUGUUCGGGUUGUUAAAAGAUCAUUCGGGUAGAAAAAAAGCAAGGGUGGGAGAGUGGCGGGGUGACGAUUUCGAAGUGAGUAGAAAUAACGCGGGGCGCGCGGCGAACAAAGGAAUCAAAGGACAGUUGGAUUCCCGGAGCGAUCCUGCAUGCUAUCGGUUUUACUCUUCGCUGACCGCCGUUGCAGCGGGCCAAUUCUCACCCUCGGAAUCGAGCCGAGUCAAGUCCCGAAAGCUUUCCGCGGUCGUUAUGGGUAUUUGUACAACACAAUUUAUCUCGCCCCGGGGCCACGAGCCACAAUGGCGGUCGCACGACGGCUCCGUCAACUCCGUCAACUCGACACGAAGGAAAUAUCCGGCGUAAUAAUCGAUUACCGGCGAGUGAAAGGAAGAGAGAAACCAUCGGGGUCGAGACUUGGAGAGAUUCGGCAUGCACACGCACACGUGCAUCGUGGCGUGUUGGUAGCGUAUUGGAGGCUUAAACUUUGCGAACGCAUGCUGCGUCAUCGGGAUUAGGUAGACAAUUACCCGGCAGCGCGCGAUGAAUCUAGAAAAAUCAAGUACACGCGCUCGAAGAUGUAUUGCCUCAGCGAUACUAUCGCGAGCAUCGAGCAGGAUAUUUUUAACGUUCUACCACCAUCGAACUGUUCUCGAAUGGCGUCGUGCUCGUAAAAUCAUGAAUCUCGUGGCGCGCGGCGUCUUCCAAGCGUACUUCCGUGCCGCGUGUUAAAAUAAUGGCUCGUUUCACGUCUCUCAAGGAUUUCCCUCGAUAACGGCUGAAGAUUAGGCUAAAGAUUUCCCAAUCUUCAAAGUGCGCUCCCCCUCCCUCCCUCUCUCCUUAUACGAUGGCCAACGCAGUCAGGGCCGUCCGUUGCGUCCACUUUCGUGUUUACACGUAUUCCGGAGGCCAUAAAUAAGCUCGUGGCGCGGCGGCCGGACACGGUCGCUCGUGCACGGGAAAACUUGACUAAUUGCGAGAAACCACCCCGACGUCGUUGCUCGUUUCUUCCCGUCGAGAUAUCCCUCGUGCCGUGGCCGUGCCGUUACUUCCCCUCUUCCCUUCCCCUAGCUUUACGGCCUUGUAAUAUACCGUUGGAGCACAUCGCGCGGUUUUUCGUCGGCCGUUCAUCAUUCUGAGACUAAUCUCUUCUACUUGGGCUGCGCUGACGCGUCGUUUGUCUUGCCCUUAACAUAGGUAGGUAGGUAGGUACCGUAGGUAGUCGUCGUCGCAUGGCACGGAGUUGGCUGGGCUUGUUCUGUCCCACGUCCAAUCGCACUCGGAUGGAGUUUUCCUGCGAUAAUCCCCAUGACUCGAUCUAACUUUUUGCCUCGGAUUCGCAUUCUCGUGUGUACCGUGGAACCGUGCUUUCCUCUGAUUUUAAUUAUUCCGUUGCCGAUAUUCACUUGUUCCAAUUCUGUGAUAAUACAAUUUUCUAUGUAGUCCGGCCGCUUCGUACAUCACGUGCUGCCGUCCGAUCUAUCGAAAUUUGUAUUUUACAUAUUUUACAUGUAUUAAUCGAAUUAUUUUCCGAAUAUCGAUUGUGAUAAAUCUGAUGCACACGAACGUAAAGAAGAACUCGCGAAAAGUAAACUUUAUUAUUCAAUGUAUGAUAAAGUUUGUUACGUUUAUUAUUCAAGUUUGUUGUCCAAACGCUGUAUGAAUUAUAUAUCCUGACACAUUUUGAGAUUCGAAAUCGUUGCAAUAUUGUGGAUACGUAUAGUUUUGUUUGCGAGAUCGGAUCGAUUUUGUGGAAUGGUUUUCGGAAGAAGUCCGGAACGAGGGAGUGGUGCGAAAUGACGAAGCCUGCGGCCACUAAUCUCGUUUGGUGGAGGUAAUUGCUUCCUAAUCGCGCGCGACCAAUCAGCCUAACCGUGUUACGCUGUAACCUAAUUCGUUUAUGCAGCAGUGUCGUAGUAUCGGUCUAACCCCCUCUUGGUCCUUAUAGAGGCACCGGAUUACUCGAGGUCCUUUUCCCUUUUGCGACUCCCUUUCUACGAGUCGCCCCAAUUUCGAACUUCGAUUCGUAAAACGGUGUGUAAGCGCACGUGUAUAUACAUGUGAUCAAGUUAAUCGUUUCUGCUUGUUUCUUGUCAAUCUUGUUUCGAUUUUCUUUUCAUCUUUACGAGAGCUUUUCGUAAUAUGGAAUCUUAGUUUUCCAAAAGAAAAACUUAAUUAAUUCUAUUGUUUAUUAUGAACACUAUAGAAUGUGAAUAAAUAAUAUGUUCAAGAUAGCGAACUCUGCAUACGUAAAUUAAGGAAUUUGGUGCAGUACACGUUGGUCGAUCAAAUGUUUUCGCUUUUUAAGAAUUCAGAAAUGUAACUCAUUAACGUUUCUCCCGAAAAUUCGUCCACACCUUUGUUCAGCAUUUAGUUUAUUCCCCUCCCCCCCACGUACGCACAUUAACAA